rnacentral:lncRNA from 1 species
CCUCCCUCCACUCUUGCUUCGCCCUGACCAGAGAUGGAGGGUGGUGCUGGGAAUAGGAGGUAGGUGAGUGCCUGUCCUGGCCAACAGCAGAGGCCCUCGAGGGAAACUGCACCGCAGGUGUCACUCUAGAGCCCACAGCGGGGGCUGUCAACCUGGAGUGUGCAGCAGAAUCGCCUACAGCCCUCUGGCCCAGCCCCAGUGACUCUGGGUGAGUGGGUCUGGGGUGCAUUUCAAACAAGUUUCCAGGCGCUGCUGCCGCCAGUCCUAUCUGGAGACGACUCUCUGAGAAGCACAAGGUGGCCAGAGGGACAGGAGUGUCCUCAGACCGCCUCUCCCAGAGAGUGGGCCUCCUCAGUCCGCACCCCAGACAGGAUAUGCCAGCCUUGAAGCCUCUGUGGACAUCUCCAUGCUCAGGGGCGAUGCCCGGCCUCUGCCAACCACGCCAGCUUAGAUGAAGUCCAGGCACCUCCCUCAGUUCACCGUGUGCCCCUGAGCGAGUCUCUCGCCCACUCUGAGCCUCAGUUUCCUUAUCUGCACAGUGAGGAGGGGAGCAAGGCCACGUGCAGCUAUUUGAGCAGGCUGGAGUGCAAAGGUGUGACCUCGGCUCACUGCAACCUCCGCCUCUCAAGUUCCAGCAAUUCUCCUGCCUCAGCCUCCCGAGUAGCUGGGAACUACAGGGAACAUUCCUGGCUGCAGUGGGGCGUUGCCCUGAAGGACAUUUGCGAGGGGAUCAUGAGGGCAGGGCUUGUGGCCAGGGCUAGACCAGGGUGCCUAGAAGCAACAGGCAGCAGGCUCAGAAAGGACAGCGUAGGCCGGGCAGCGCCGCCAGCCCUGGGGCUGGGAGAGAACAGGCUGGCCCCACCCUCGGCUGGAAGGAAGAAGUGAAGGCCGCAGAGACUGGAACACAGAGCAGACAGCGUCGCUGACUCUUGGCUGUCUGGACAGGACAGUGACUUCUGGCCGGGGUCACUGCCCGGCGCCAUGCAGCAGGGAAGGAGCCAGGAGACCGACACCCUCUACUGUCUCCUCCCUCCCUCCCGGCCUCCAUCAGGACUUGCAGGAGCUGACACCAAGUGCAAACCAGACGACCCAGGCCGAUGGCGCCCACACAGGUGGCCUCCCAGACACACAGCCAGGAGAGAGGUGGCAGUGGCCCUGGGGACAUUGGAAGACGUGGUGUUGUGGCUGUUGAGCUGAAGUCUCACCAUCAUAGCUUGUGUUGUAAAGCAAGGAGCAGCAAGCUACGGGUCUGCAGGCCAAAUUUAGCCUGCUGCUUGUUUUGUAAAUAAAGUUUUACCGGCACACAGUCAUGCUCAUUUGUUUCUACAUUGUCUAUGGCUGCUUUCUUGCUAUAAUGGUAGAUGCAGAGACUGUAGGGUUCAUAAAACCUGAAACAUUUACUCUCUGGCCUUUUACAGAAAAAGUUUACCCGCCCCUGGUCUAAAGGAAAGGACAAGAAAUUCUCUCUCCCAGUUUUAGUAUGAAACAUUCUUUUUAUUUUUUAUUUUAUUUAUCAUUAUUACUAUCUUUGAGAUGGAGUCUUGUUCUGUUGUCCAGGCUGGAGUGCACUGGUGCAAUCUCUGCUCACUGCACCCUCCGCUUUCCGGGUUCAAGUGAUUAUCCUGCCUCAGCCUCCCAAGUAGCUGGGAUUACAGGCAUGCGCCACCAUGCCCCGCUAAUUUUUAUAUUUUUAGUAGAGACGGGGUUUCACCAUGUUGGCCAGGCUGGUCUUAAACUCCUGACCUCAAGUGAUCCACCCAGCUCGGUCUCCCAAAAUGCUGGGAUUACAGGCGUGAGCCACUGCGCCCGGCCUUCUUUUUCUUUUUCUUUUUCUUUUUGAGAUGGAGUCUCGCUCUGUCACCCAGGCUGGAGUGCAGUGGCGCCAUCUUGACUCACUGCAACCUCUGCCUCCUGGGUUCAAGUAGUUUUCCUGCCUCAUUCUCUAAAGUAGCUGAGAUUACAGGUGUGCACAACCACACCCAGCUAAUUUUUUAUUUUUAUUUUUGGUAUUUUUAGUAGAGACAAGGUUUCACCAUUUUGGUCAGGCUGGUCUCGAACUCCUGACCUCAAAUGAUCUGCCCGCCUUGGCCUCCCAAAAUGCUGGGAUUACAUGUGUGAGCCACCACACCCAGCCAGUAUAAAACAUUCUAAAUAAGUUAUCUGCUGAGGGAGCAAGAUUGUUUGAGACCAGGAGUUCAAGACCAACCGGGGCGACAUAGCAAGACUCCUUCUCUAAAAAAAUUUUUUUAAAUUAGCCAGAUGUGGUGGCAUACACCUGUAGUCCCCACUACUGUGGAGGCUGAGAUGGGAGGAUUACUUGAGCCUGGCAGUUCAAGGCUGCAGUGAGCUAUGAUUGUGCCAAGUCACUUCAGCCUGUAUGACGGAGCAAGACCAUGUCUCUAAAAAAUAAAUAGAUAAAUGAAUACAUAAACAAAUAAGUUCUCUGAUUGGCCUGGCUUCAGUCACAUGACUGAAGGGGGAUGAAGUGCUGCUAGGGUCUUGGGUCACAUGUCCACCCUGGUGCCAGCCCCUCUAGAAUCCUAUGAUCAGAGUGGAGCUGGAGCACAGACUCACAGGGCAUGGGGCUCAGGAGAGAGAGAAAGCGAGGGCAGACGAAUACAAGGACUGUCCACCAAAGGCACGAUGACCUUUGUUGUACAUUUGUAAAUGUAUAAGAACAGUAAAUGGAAAUUUCCAGGAGGCAAGAAGAGAGAGCAGAUGUGGAAUUCUCAAAUGCUAUGUCAGAUCGCCAUGGGCAGAUUGUCAAGAGAAAUGUUUGGGAAUCUGUCCCACACUCAGGAAUAAAAGAUGAGAGUGGAAGAGAAAGUUUGGUCAGGUGAUCCUGCCAGGGGACACAGAGGACAGGCACUCCUUCCUUCACUUUAAGCCUGUGAGGGUGGCUUCCAAGGGAUUUCUCAGAGAGCUCAAUAUUUGGCACUCAAUUUGGAGGGCACAGUGGCAGGAAGGGCUCAUGUGCUGUUUCAGAGGCAGAGCUAUGCUGCUGUGCUGGGACCCACCUGUUCACUAAUGUUGGGGCGAGGAGUGUGCCAGUGUUUCCUGAGGACAGAUGUGAGCUGGGUGGAUGAGCAAGCACAAGACCCAUGGAUCCAUUUAGGUCCUGUCCAAAAGUCCCUCAGGAAGGGCAGAGGGCCCCUCCCCUCCACAGCCACCAGACCCAACGUUACAAAACGGCUGUGCUGAAGAUACAGAAUGUUCCCAGCCCCCUAGAGGCCUCUCCUUGUGCCUCCUUCCAGUUGAUACCCCAAAGGCAACCAGUACUCUCACCUCUAACGCCAGAUUGUUCUCACCUGCCUUUAAGAAAUGAAGGUAUUAUAUAUACAUACACACAGUGACAUGCACUCAUCUUAAGAAGACAGUUUGAAGAAUGUUUACUUAUGCGUGCUCCCAUGUAACUACUACCCAAAUCCAGGCAUAGAACAUUACCAGCAGCCCAGAAGGUUCCUCCUCUUGUUCCAGUCAACAACUCCGGCAUAGGCAGCCACUCCUCUUCUUCUUCUUCUUCUUCUUAUUAUUAUUACUAUUAUUAAGACGGAGUCGUGCUCUGUUGCCCAUGCUGGAGUGCAGUGGAGCGAUCUUGGCUCACUGCACUUUCGCCUCCCGGGUUCAAGUAAUUCUCCUGCCUUAGCCUCUCGAGUAGCUGGGACUACAGGCGCGCGCCACCACGCCCGGCUAGUUUUUUGUAUUUUAGUAGAGACGGGGUUUCACCGUGUUGCCCAGGCUGGUCUCGAAGUCCUGAGCUCAGGCAAUCCGCCCACCUCGGCCUCCUAAAGUGCUGGGAUUACAGGUGUGAGCCACCGCGCCAGGCCCACUCCUAUUUUUAGCUCCAGAGAUUAGUUUUGCUUCAGGCUCCCUUAACGUCCUGCUUCAAACCCCUAUCUGCCCCUUCAUCGGCUCCACCUGGAGGCCACCGCUUCCACGGAAGCAUGACCCCUUCCCCUGCACCCGCGCGCCCCAGAAGCUCUCAGAUACCCCCACGAUUUCGGUGACCUUCCGCAAGCUCCAGGAAAAGCCCCUCCUCUCCUGACGCCAAGGGUUUGUUGGGGUUGGGGGGUAUCUCCAUCAGCCUCCCUCCCCCAGCCACCCAAAUUAACCAACAAUCUUAGUAAAUGCAGCGACUCGCUAGGCAAACCCAGCCUGGAGACAAAUAUCCGGCCCCUUUCCUACCAAACUGUCACACCUAGGCAUUGGUCUGCAGGGAGGGCUGGACAGUGGAAACUGAAACCCUCUGCAAGCCAUCACGAAUCCACCGGGCACUGGGGACGCUGGCUCCCGCCUUGGCAGCAUCCCCCAGAAGCCUGGGCCCUGACCCCACACCGUCUGGGCCUCAGUCUCUCAUCGGUAAAGUCAGGGGUAGGGCCCGAGUCUUCCAGGACCGCUUCGAGCUGGGACAAGCCGUUUUAAAUAGCCCACAACCCGCCGAGGCCAUCAGAGCUGCGCCUGCCGGGCCGCCCUCGACCCCCACCUCGGCCGGGCAGGUCCGAGGCCCCGCAGGCAACAUGGGCCCGCGGACUGCGGGACGGGGCUCGACGGCCUGAGAUCGCGACUCUGCCUCUCCGAUACUUGGGGUCGUCUUCGGCCCCGGGAUCCGCGACGCGCGCGGUCGGACCCCGAAUACUGAAGGCACCGGGUCCGCAGGGCGAAGGCGCACACGCCCACCAGGCGCGCUCUGCGCAUGCGCGGGCUCCGCAAUCUCAGCGGCCCACUCGCCCCGCCCCGCCCCC